AGUAACGGCGAGUGAAGCGGCAACAGCUCAAAUUUGAAAUCUGGUCCUCACGGGCCCGAGUUGUAAUUUGUAGAGGAUGCUUUUGGUGCGGCGCCGCCCGAGUUCCCUGGAACGGGACGCCAUAGAGGGUGAGAGCCCCGUCUGGCUGGACGCCAAGCCUCUGUAAAGCUCCUUCGACGAGUCGAGUAGUUUGGGAAUGCUGCUCUAAAUGGGAGGUAUAUGUCUUCUAAAGCUAAAUAUUGGCCAGAGACCGAUAGCGCACAAGUAGAGUGAUCGAAAGAUGAAAAGCACUUUGAAAAGAGGGUUAAACAGUACGUGAAAUUGUUGAAAGGGAAGCGCUCGUGACCAGACUUGGGCUUGGCGAAUCAUCCAGGGUUCUCCCUGGUGCACUUUGCCUCGCCCAGGCCAGCAUCAGUUCGCCGCGGGGGACAAAGGCGUCGGGAACGUGGCUCCCUCGGGAGUGUUAUAGCCCGUCGCGCAAUACCCUGGGGCGGACUGAGGUUCGCGCAUCUGCAAGGAUGCUGGCGUAAUGGUCAUCGGCGACCCGUCUUGAAACACGGACCAAGGAGUCGUCCUCGUAUGCGAGUGUUCGGGUGUCAAACCCCUACGCGUAAUGAAAGUGAACGCAGGUGAGAGCUUCGGCGCAUCAUCGACCGAUCCUGAUGUUCU
rnacentral:rRNA from 1 species